CCGGGAUAGCUCAGUCGGUAGAGCAGAGGACUGAAAAUC
rnacentral:tRNA from 1 species